AAUCAUUCCUUUACUGAUUAUUAAGGAACAUUCCACAGUUGCCUAUGAACUGCAUACAAAUUGAUCUGACAGAACGGGAUUACUUGAGCACCAUGAAGUCCCUACAUUGAUGGAUUAAAGGCCAGAUGUCCACAUGACCAUCAUCAUCAGGUUCUUCCAUGUGAACCCUGAAUACACCAUCAUUAAGAGAAGAACAGAGAAGAAACUCUUCAUCAUUAUGAUGCACGCAGUCUAUCUAUAUAAUAAAAUACUAAGUUUGAAUGGAUGUUCUCAAAUGUUCUUUGUAUUUUGUGGGUGGUUCCCCAGGAGGCGGGGCCACCAGUCCAUCACCAUUGAAUGGCUGCACCCAGCCCUAUAAAACCUUAUGGAGAAACGCAGUCCCUCGACAUUCCUCGGUGGUUCAACAUCCCUGAUAGAGGAUCACUGAAAUCAUGGGAAAGAGGGGUCCUUUCAUCGGAUUGGCUGGCCC